rnacentral:rRNA from 1 species
CUACGGGCGGCAGCAGUGGGGAAUAUUGCACAAUGGGCGCAAGCCUGAUGCCGCCAUGCCGCGUGUGUGAAGAAGGCCUUCGGGUUGUAAAGCACUUUCAGCGGGGAGGAAGGCGGUGAGGUUAAUAACCUCAUCGAUUGACGUUACCCGCAGAAGAAGCACCGGCUAACCCGUGCCAGCAGCCGCGGUAAUACGGAGGGUGCAAGCGUUAAUCGGAAUUACUGGGCGUAAAGCGCACGCAGGCGGUCUGUCAAGUCGGAUGUGAAAUCCCCGGGCUCAACCUGGGAACUGCAUUCGAAACUGGCAGGCUAGAGUCUUGUAGAGGGGGGUAGAAUUCCAGGUGUAGCGGUGAAAUGCGUAGAGAUCUGGAGGAAUACCGGUGGCGAAGGCGGCCCCCUGGACAAAGACUGACGCUCAGGUGUGAAAGCGUGGGGAGCAAACAGGAUUAGAUACCCCUGUAGUC